UAUAUUUUUCCUAAAAUAAGUGAGAAGUAUCUCUGCAUUUUAUGGUAUUGUCUGGUACAUGUGAAAUACUUUUCAGCUCUAGUACCUUGUUACUUAUUUAUUCUGCUCCUUUCCCUUUCCUGAGUCCCUGAUAAUUCAAGAAGUGCUGUUAUCUUCAUUUCACAAAUUUGAACUUGCUCACAUUCAGAUGGAUGGAGGCACAUAAAACCCCUGCAUCUUGGGGCGGUGCCUUUGAUGGGUGGGCUGUGUGCCCGGUAGGUGGCUGGGAGGUCUCUGCAGUGAGCAUGCACAAAAUUAUUAACCAGGACAGACCAUGAAUAUUCUUUAAUGAAACCUCUCUUUCUUGGAAUCUUUUUAGAGGUGGUGAUUGUGGUUAUAAUGAUGAUAAGUGAUGGUUAUAAUGAUGAUAAUGAUGGUCCUGAUGGUCAUCAGGAGGAUGACUACCUCUCUUUGGUGAGAUGGUAAGAAGUUUAUUGGGAAGAUUAGGAAUAGUAACUAAUAUACGUUGACAUCAUGCCAGGAUUAACUUCCAAAAAUGCUAUAAAUUCAGACAAGGCAGACAGCAAGAACUGAACAUAAAGAGACCUAAUCCUUUUAUGAACAGAUAAUUGGAGUUUUAUCACUGGCAAUGAAAGCAGUAUGCUUGAGGAACACUGCCCUGUGUCUCAGUUUAACAGGUUUAUUUACAAGCUUUUGGGCUGAGGCUGUCACUCCUCCAGGUGUGUCAGACCCAUUAACCUCAGUUCUGCUGUGGACUGGGGGCAGUAGAGUAUCUAACCUUUAAGUUUCAGUAAGGAGUGGUGGUGCUGUUAGGUACUGCUUUAGUCAAGAGCCGGUCAGCAUUUCCUAUGGAAUUUAUACCUGGUCUAUAAAACACACUCCGCUGCAGGUUGAUAUACAGUCUGCCUCUGAAGGAGUCAUUACUAUCUAUCACUUCAAUGAUCUGCUGAUAAUGGGGGUGUAUCACAUAUCUGUAAUGGAUCUGAACAAGUCUAUGGAAAUUGCACUGAGUCUGUGGAAAAUGGCAGAGAAUCAGUAGGAGUGCUUGUAUGCUCCCUGAGAUCCUUGGGGGCCAUUAUAGCACAGAAGGAAUAUUAACAGCCUUCAAAUGGGAAAGCCUGCGAUAAUCGCCUUCAUUAAUCAAAGAGAAAUCAAACAUGCCAAAUCUGAAUGCUGCGUCGUCUAGACAAUGGUAGGUGCAAUUCAGGCUGUUUUCUGACAUUUGCUGGAGGAUGGUUGACUUCAGCACAGCCACUCUAGAGCCCUCUGAGCUUGAGUGGUGGUUUUCCAGUUGGAUUUUGCUCUUGGUCUUUGCCUCAGAGUCUUUUAUUUAUUUAUUUAUUUUUCCCCCAUGUAUCAGCCAUUUGCUCUUCAUAAGCUGUUUCCAUGCAUAUACAAGAGCUGUGCAUAACAUGGGUGAGCUGAGGACAGAGGAAAAAGCCUUAACUCUGAGUUUCCUGGCUGCUCUUAAAGCACAGUGUCGUUUUAACAUCCUUUCUUAUUUCAUGAGCAUGCAGCCAGAGACAUAAAUAUAAAUACGUCUGUCUUUGAUAAAUUAAAAUCCUAACAGGUGUAUGAAUCCUUGCCAAGAUAGCUACGAGCUGGUCAGUAUAUAUUGCUUGCACUUGGAAGUGGUACAUUAGAGAACGCUCGGCAGUUUCACUGCUUUAUAAAUAGCUGGAUUUGGCAUUUCUGCAAUCAUCUGCUGAGGGUGAAGAAGUAAUAGAUGGAUAAAAGUACAUAUAGAUCAUCUUUCAGAAUCCUGUAGAUGAAAUGAAUUAACUCCACAACAUGUUCAUUCCUGUCGUUAGCUUUUCUGGUCUUUCUUAGGUUCGAUAGUAGCAGCAGAGAGAAGAGAAGUCCUGGUGCUGUGAGUACUAGUCCCAGACCUCAGAGACCCCAGAUCAGUUUCCUUUUCUGCCAUAGACUUCCUGUGUGACCUUGGGCAAGUUUCUUAGUCUGGUUGACAUCCAAAAAAGCACUUAGAAACCUAAAGUGUAACUGAAGCUUAAUUUAGGUGUCUUUGUUCAGGGGAGCACUCCAUGAAAAUUCAGCUUAGGUGCCUGAGAGGACAUGGAUGCCAUGGCUUUGGUUAGAAAAGACAACAGACAAAGUCAUUUAAAAUGUGUUCAAAGGCACCACUGUCCUCAGCUGGGCUGAGAAUAGAAGUGGACUUAUUUGAAGCCUAUUUAGAAGUGACAAAUCAGAUAUAUCCCUGAAGGUCCUGGUCUGUUAGGUGUCCUCUGAGUGCCUGGCAUGUGCAGAGAGCAUUGAGUUCAGCACAAAGCGUGGCGGUUUUGGCAACUUAUAUGUAUAUAUUUUGCAAGGUUGGAAGGAGAAAGUGCUGUCAUCAACUUCUUGUACAUCCUCCCAGUAGAUAUAAUGCUCUGAGACGUGGAAGGAAAUGGCUAGUAGGCUGUUUUUAGGAAGUGGCACUUAAAAUAUACUGCCUUUUACUGCAGGCUCUUACUCUGGAAUAAGAGGAGAGGCUGACUUGUCCCUGCCAUGGAAGCUGCUUUGCUGUGCAGGAAGGAGAAUUGAUGUUCACAGGAGGAGAAAUCACACAUGUAGGACAAGACACAUGACAGCAGAGCUUGUGGUUAGAAGGUUGAGGUCUUGGUUCUGCUUUCUGCUUCCACAGAAAAUGUUUACGCAUUUUAUCCAACAGCUAUAGGGCUCUGUGGGGAAACUGUCCCUGAAGCAAGGUGCUGACAUGUUUUGUGGUCCUAGCAAAAUGUCAGAGAAUUAAGUGUGAGGUGGGGAACGGGAGGGUCUCAGGGCCCGUUCUUGAUGUUAUGAGGAGAUGGAACAGCGUUUGAGUGAACAACCCUUCCCUAGGCAUGGCCUGCUGGGUUGAAGUGAAUGCAGACUGUUUCAAACACUGCUCUUGCUGGGUCUGGUCUACAUCUGGAUGUGCUUCUGUACAUCCCCUCCGAGGUGGGCUUCAUGAAGAGUCCCUUUCUGAGUUCACAUUUGGGCUGUGUCCUUUGCUCAUUUAUGUAUUUCAGCUCUUCCCUUCCAGCACCACAUGCUUAAUUAGCUAUGCUCUAUCCAAACCUCAUUUUAUCUGCUUUCUGAUGAUGGGUUAUCUUGCACUAUGUUCUUUAACAAGACACACCUUCCUCUCUUCUCUAUCACUCUUAGUAUAGUGAUUAAGAAAUUCUAAAAUAUCUGAGACAUUGGAUUGUAUUCUUCAGACUUAGGAGGUCUUGAAGUCUAGACAUCUCCCUUUCUAGGCAGGUGUGCUCUAAAUACUCAUCUUCUGUCAUCCUGCUCUGUCCCUUGCUACUCACAUAAAAUUUCCUUUUUUUUUUUUUUUUUUUUUUUUUUUGUGUGUCUGAAUAUUUGCUUUAGGUGUUGACUUGUCCCAGCUUUGCAGCACUCAGCAGUAGCCCUGUAGAGAUAUCAAACUCACAGAUGUCUUUAUAUAGGACAAAGGUGGCCUUGAACUCCAGUUUGCUAUAGCUGCAUUUACGACAAGCUUAUGAGGUAUAUUUGGCUGUCUCUGCAUGAGACUUGGACAUUGUGGUUGCUUCAGAGUAUUAUGUAGUAUUUGAUGUGGAUCCCUUGCUAAGUGGGCUAUUGGGCGGUCCCUUCCAAGACCAUCCAUUUUGUGUACCAAGGAAACCAGUAGAGCCCAGAUAUGUUGAGAACAAUGCCGCUCAAAGCAGUCAUCAAACCUCAUUCAUGCCCUCAGGGAGCUGCUGAAAAAUAGUACCAGGUGUGGUGCUUUGACUAAUUGGCCUGAACAGUCAAUGUAUGCCUGAGCUGGCUAAGCUCCUAUGUUUUAGUGGCCCUUGUUUUCAUGAUAUUGAUGCCUCUCCCUUCAGUGUGAAUCCAUCAUAAUCAAACAGUACAGGUUUGAUGACAAGAACAAUCAGUCGUAAAGCAGAGGGAGAACUGAGAUUUUCUC